GACGAAGGGUGCGAGCGUUAUUCGGAGUAAUUGGGCGUAAAGGGUGCGUAGGCGGUGCACUAAGUCAACUGUUAAAUACCUCAGCCUAACUGAGGAAAGGCGGUUGAUACUGGUGUGCUUGAGGAUGGAAGAGAGAAGUGGAAUUCUCGGAGUAGCGGUAAAAUGCGUAGAUCUCGAGAGGAACACCAAUGGCGAAGGCAGCUUCUUGGUCCAUUCCUGACGCUGAGGCACGAAAGCGUGGGGAGCAAACAGG
rnacentral:rRNA from 1 species